rnacentral:rRNA from 1 species
GAACGCUAGCUACAGGCUUAACACAUGCAAGUCGAGGGGCAGCAUUUUAGUUUGCUUGCAAACUGAAGAUGGCGACCGGCGCACGGGUGAGUAACACGUAUCCAACCUGCCGAUAACUCCGGAAUAGCCUUUCGAAAGAAAGAUUAAUACCGGAUAGCAUACGAAUAUCGCAUGAUAUUUUUAUUAAAGAAUUUCGGUUAUCGAUGGGGAUGCGUUCCAUUAGUUUGUUGGCGGGGUAACGGCCCACCAAGACAACGAUGGAUAGGGGUUCUGAGAGGAAGGUCCCCCACAUUGGAACUGAGACACGGUCCAAACUCCUACGGGAGGCAGCAGUGAGGAAUAUUGGUCAAUGGGCGAGAGCCUGAACCAGCCAAGUAGCGUGAAGGAUGAAGGCUCUAUGGGUCGUAAACUUCUUUUAUAUGGGAAUAAAGUUUUCCACGUGUGGAAUUUUGUAUGUACCAUAUGAAUAAGGAUCGGCUAACUCCGUGCCAGCAGCCGCGGUAAUACGGAGGAUCCGAGCGUUAUCCGGAUUUAUUGGGUUUAAAGGGAGCGUAGGUGGAUUGUUAAGUCAGUUGUGAAAGUUUGCGGCUCAACCGUAAAAUUGCAGUUGAAACUGGCAGUCUUGAGUACAGUAGAGGUGGGCGGAAUUCGUGGUGUAGCGGUGAAAUGCUUAGAUAUCACGAAGAACUCCGAUUGCGAAGGCAGCUCACUAGACUGUCACUGACACUGAUGCUCGAAAGUGUGGGUAUCAAACAGGAUUAGAUACCCUGGUAGUCCACACAGUAAACGAUGAAUACUCGCUGUUUGCGAUAUACAGUAAGCGGCCAAGCGAAAGCAUUAAGUAUUCCACCUGGGGAGUACGCCGGCAACGGUGAAACUCAAAGGAAUUGACGGGGGCCCGCACAAGCGGAGGAACAUGUGGUUUAAUUCGAUGAUACGCGAGGAACCUUACCCGGGCUUAAAUUGCAACAGAAUAUAUUGGAAACAGUAUAGCCGUAAGGCUGUUGUGAAGGUGCUGCAUGGUUGUCGUCAGCUCGUGCCGUGAGGUGUCGGCUUAAGUGCCAUAACGAGCGCAACCCUUAUCUUUAGUUACUAACAGGUGAUGCUGAGGACUCUAGAGAGACUGCCGUCGUAAGAUGUGAGGAAGGUGGGGAUGACGUCAAAUCAGCACGGCCCUUACGUCCGGGGCUACACACGUGUUACAAUGGGGGGUACAGAAGGCGGCUACCUGGUGACAGGAUGCUAAUCCCAAAAACCUCUCUCAGUUCGGAUCGAAGUCUGCAACCCGACUUCGUGAAGCUGGAUUCGCUAGUAAUCGCGCAUCAGCCAUGGCGCGGUGAAUACGUUCCCGGGCCUUGUACACACCGCCCGUCAAGCCAUGAAAGCCGGGGGUACCUGAAGUACGUAACCGCAAGGAGCGUCCUAGGGUAAAACUGGUAAUUGGGGC